rnacentral:ncRNA from 1 species
AGUGCUGCCGCAUGGGGCAGAGAAUAGGGAAACGGGUGCGAUUCCCGUACGGUACCGCCGCUGUGAGCAUCGAGGGGCGCGUCCAUGCGAAAGCAAGCCACUGGGAGACCGGGAAGGCAGACGCGAAACCGUUUGAGAUGCCAGUCAGAAGAACUGCUUGAGCU